rnacentral:rRNA from 1 species
UACGUAGGGUCCGAGCGUUGUCCGGAAUUAUUGGGCGUAAAGAGCUUGUAGGCGGUUUGUCGCGUCUGCCGUGAAAAUCCGGGGCUCAACCCCGGACUUGCGGUGGGUACGGGCAGACUAGAGUGUGGUAGGGGAGACUGGAAUUCCUGGUGUAGCGGUGAAAUGCGCAGAUAUCAGGAGGAACACCGAUGGCGAAGGCAGGUCUCUGGGCCACUACUGACGCUGAGAAGCGAAAGCGUGGGGAGCGAACAGG